AAACCAAGUUUGAGAAGGACAACAUCCCAUGGGAGGAACCAUGCACUGGAGCAGGGCAAGACAGUGAAGAUGAAUUGACAGUAGACGACAAUGCAUUAUGGACUGACUGGAGCUCCAGUUCCCCUGCUCUGUUCAAGGGGAGGAGGUUGAAACUUCACUGAAACAUUGAGUUGACUCCAUGACUCAAAAACAUCAACUCCUAAAUUCUGUGAUGAACAAUAACAUGGAUCAGCUUCAAAAUGUGUGACCUUUUCCUUCUGGAAGGAAAAGUAGUAUCUUUAUUCUGUGAAGUAACAUAAGCUGACUCUGGAAAGAAAAUCUCUGUGUCAUCUGAACAUCUUCAGCUCCUUGAGCCUUCUGCCAGCCUUUCAUGGAGAAAAUGGGAAUGGCCUUGGCUCUGUAGAACACUGUUUAGCAAUAACUAUUUUUCCUAGAAUGAAAAAAAGGGAAACAUCUGGCCUAUAUUGCUCUGACAAGCUUUCUACAGGGAAUUCCAGGCAUGCCAAGAAUUCUCGGCAUCCUCAAAAAUAAGGAAUGAACAUAGUCACUUUGCCCCAAGGAAAAUUGUUUGCUGUACAGCUUUUGACUCCAUCAUUCUUUCACAGUUGUUGCAACAUUCAAAAGCCUGAGGGGACUUAAGAGAAGCAAUCAGCCAAGCAUGACUUGUAUAAUAUUGAAGUGUCUGAAGGACAGUAUUUUUAGGCAGGUACUCUUCCCAGUAGGCCAGGCUGUUCAGAGUGACAUCCAUCCUUGACUUGAAUGCUUCCAGGGAGGGGACAUCCACAACCUCACUGAGCAAACUGUUCCAGUGUCUCACCACUAACCAGUAAAGAAUUUCUUCCUACAUGACCUUGUUGAACUUCAUGAGGUUGGCAUGGGACCACCUUUCAGGCCUGCCAGGUCCCUCUGGAUAGUGUACCCUCCCUCAAGCAUGUCAACUGCACCACGCAGCCUGAUGUCAUCUGCAAACUUGUGGAGGAUGCACUUCAUGUUGCCUACAAAAAUGUUAAAAAACACUACCAACACCGAUCCCUGAAGAAUGACGCUCAUGACCUGUUUUCACAUGGACAUUGAGCUGCUGACUGCAGCUCUCUGAGUGCAACCAUCCAGCCAAUUCCUUCUCCAGCCAGUGGUCCAUUCAUCAAAUCCAUUUUUCUCCAAUUUAACAAACCAGGAUGUCAUGCGGGACAGUGUCAAAUGCUCUGCACAAGACCAGGCUAUAUUACAGAGAGAAGGCAGAAAAAGUCAUUAAAUCUCUUUGGCCUGGAAAAGAGACAACUGACUGGAAACAAAAUUAUCAAAGAGGCUGGUUCCAGGAAACCUGUCCGGAAGAGAAGAACUACAUACUCCUGGGGCCUUUGCAUUCAGAGAGGAGAUAUAACCCCCUGGCAAGGUCACCUGAUGUGCCUUUUUUUCUUCGGUUCUCCCUCAUCCUUGCUGCUUGACCCAACCGUGUGUCUCACCUCAGAGCCUUUCUUCAUAGGAGAAGUGCUCCAGCCCUUUGAUAAUCUUCAUAGACCUCCUCUGGACCAGCUCAAGCAGCUCCAUGUCUUCCCUGUGCUGGGGACCCCAAGUCUGGAUGCAGUACUCCAGAUGAUGCAUCUUGAAGGCAGAGCUGGGGGGAGGGGAGACAAUCACCUCCCUCUUCCUGCUGGACACUCCUCCCCUGGUGCAGCCCAAGAUACUCUUGGUCUUCAGUGCUGUAAGCACUCACUGCUGGCUCAUGUCUAACUUUUCCUCCACCACGACCACCAAGUUUUUUUCCAUAGGGCUACUUUCAAUAAGUUCUUGCAGUGUUUACAUACAUCUGGGAUUACCUGACCCACAUGGAAACCCCUUGUGCUUGAAUUAAUAUGGGAAUGUUAUUAAUGGAAUAAAAAGGGGAGGGGAAAAAAUAAAAUAAAAAGCAAAAAUAAUUGAAAAAAAAAAAAACAGCUUGUAAUUUGGAAAUCAAAUAGAAGCUCAUGUUUAUUCAGCUUCAGCUUUCCCUCCUACUCAAAUAUAUUACUCAUAUUUUAAUUUUUCCUGAAGUGUCAAACCAUGUGAAACUACAAAAUAUGGAAUCAUAAAAAAAGGUGUUCUGCAGAAACUGAUCUAAAUCCAUCUGGCAAUAUUCAGUACAAUACUAGCUACUUAAUCUUUUGUGUUCAUUUCUUUGUUUCCUCUGUUU
rnacentral:lncRNA from 1 species